rnacentral:rRNA from 1 species
AUUGAACGCUGGCGGCAUGCCUUACACAUGCAAGUCGAACGGUAACGGGCCUUCGGGUGCCGUCGAGUGGCGAACGGGUGCGUAAUACAUCGGAACGUGCCCGAUCGCGGGGGAUAACGAGGCGAAAGCUUUGCUAAUACCGCAUACGAUCUACGGUUGAAAGCCGGGGACCGCAAGGCCUUGCGCGGACGGAGCGGCCGCUGGCAGAUUAGGUAGUUGGUAGGAUAAAAGCUUACCAAGCCGACGAUUUGUAGCUGGUCUGAGAGGAUGAUCAGCCACACUGGGACUGAGACAUGGCCCAGACUCCUACGGGAGGCAGCAGUGGGGAAUUUUGGACAAUGGGCGCAAGCCUGAUCCAGCCAUGCCGCGUGCAGGAUGAAGGCCUUCGGGUUGUAAACUGCUUUUGUACGGAACGAAAAGCCUUCUUUUAAUACAGGAGGGUCAUGACGGUACCGUAAGAAUAAGCACCGGCUAACUACGUG